rnacentral:rRNA from 1 species
UACGUAGGGGGCGAGCGUUGUCCGGAUUUACUGGGCGUAAAGAGCGCGUAGGCGGAUGUUUACGUGUGGCCUCAAAGCCCCCGGCUCAACCGGGGAUCUGGGUUGCAAACUGGGCAUCUUGAGGGGGAUAGAGGAGAGUGGAAUUCCUGGUGUAGCGGUGAAAUGCGUAGAUAUCAGGAGGAACACCCGUGGCGAAGGCGGCUCUCUGGGUCCGCCCUGACGCUGAGGCGCGAAAGCGUGGGGAGCGAACAGG